AUUGAACGCUGGCGGCAGGCCUAACACAUGCAAGUCGAACGGUAACAGGAAGAAGCUUGCUUCUUUGCUGACGAGUGGCGGACGGGUGAGUAAUGUCUGGGAAACUGCCUGAUGGAGGGGGCUAACUACUGGAAACGGUAGCUAAUACCGCAUAACGUCGCAAGACCAAAGAGGGGGACCUUCGGGCCUCUUGCCAUCGGAUGUGCCCAGGUGGGAUUAGCUAGUAGGUGGGGUAACGGCUCACCUAGGCGACGAUCCCUAGCUGGUCUGAGAGGAUGACCAGCCACACUGGAACUGAGACACGGUCCAGACUCCUACGGGAGGCAGCAGGGGGGAAUAUUGUACAAUGGGCGCAAGCCUGAUGCAGCCAUGCCGCGUGUAUGAAGAAGGCCUUCGGGUUGUAAAGUACUUGCAGAGGGGAGGAAGGGAGUAAAGUUAAUACCUUGACUCAUUGACGUUACCCGCAGAAGAAGCACCGGCUAACUCCGUG
rnacentral:rRNA from 1 species